ACUCUUAACAAAUUUGUUAUCAGUAUUUGAACUCUAAUUUCAAUUUGAACUUCAACUACACGCCACAAUUAUUUAUGUUUUACGUAAAAACAUUUCGGUAUGUCGCCCGUUUAUAGUUACGAUUAAGACAGUACAGAUGUGAGUGUGGCGUCCUCCAUGAAUGCUAUCGCACUAAAAAAUAUGUACCUAUAGAAAUGAAAUGACUUGAAGUUU